GAAAAGUCAUCCUCCUACCACAAGGGAGCCCAGACUCUUCCUUAAGGGGGCUGAGCCCCCAAUGGCCCCCUCGUAACUUGAACCCUGCCUCAACUAAAACAAACACAUAUCUUUAAAGUUAAUUGAUGAAAAAGGGAAAUCUGAAUGAAAAUAGGACAUCAUCAUGUUGGCCUGGUGCAAAGGGGAACAAGAACUGGAGCAAAUCUGGAUGAUGACACAGGUCUUCUUUUAACUAUCUGUCUUUUAUAACCUGUAAAAAAUUAUAAGGUACUGAUUUACCGAUACUGGCUACAGGACACACAUGCCAACAAAUGUAAAGAAAGGAACUUGGCACUUCAUUGUAAACUCACAAUGAUUUGGUGUCUCUCCUGUGUGAUACUCAACCAAAGUUGAGUCCCGGCCUUAAGUUUGGGAAAGGCUGCUCUGGGGAAUAGAUGCUCUCUAUCUUAAUAUAAAAAAAUUGGAGAAAACAACAUUAAGAAAGAUUUUUAAAUGGUAAAUGAUCAACAUCAUUCAUCAUAAAAAGUAACAUUUACAAUAUAGUUACAUCACACUGUUGAUGCCAAGCCAAUGUGAGACUGUAGUGGGUGGGAGAUUAGAGACAGAGUACUGCAAGAAAAAGGACCCUGAGGAAAAAACACACCAGCAAUGAACUUUUUACGUAAUAAUCAUACAUUCAACUGAGUUAAGUGAAUACCUAUCACAUCGUACCGUACUAUACCGUAUCAUAUGCUGACAACAAUACAAUGUGGAUAAUAUGUGCAUCCCUAAUGGUAAUGUUAAAUGACAGUUUGAGCUUUGUCCACAAACUUGUUGGUAUUAAUCAAACACCAGUACCAAAAGUAACCAGUUCUUGAUACCCUGUAAGCAGGUACAAAUUGGUCGAUUUUUGUUUGAUACUGUUUGGAGUCGAAAUAAAAGUCCAGUCUUUCUUUAUGGACUCUGCACUGAUUUGCUUGGUUAUAUUUUCCACUGCGCGGCCUGUUUGAACAUGAUGUCACCUACAAAGAGAAUUGGAAAAAUGAUUACAAAGUCAGUCAGUGACAGCAGUAGCUGGAGGGUCUGUGGUUUAAAUCCCUGCACUGACUGAGAAAACAUGGUACUGGUAAUGAGCAACACUUCUAUCAUUAUUCCAUCAGUACACAACUCCACCACGCCUAAAGAAAGGCGCUGAAUUCCCUUGCUGUAAUGGAGGAGCUGCUCUGUCAGUCCACAGGGUGGCUCCAAGUGUAAUAACAGCCUGUUUGGUAGAGUUAGGAUGGGCAGUACUUUGAAAACUUGAAACAUGUUGUAGUUGGGUUCGUCUCAAAGUUUUGUCUCCAUUGAGAAAUUUUCUCGAUGCUGAAAAACCCAGACAGAGCUGGAAGAAUUCCAAUUAGAAAAGAAAAGAACAACUGGAUCCCUGUUCAGAGCCUGCUCUAAAGCCUGAGGGAUUACCAACAAGUUUCUCUAACAAGUUAUCUAAAACUUUAGCCAUGUUAACCACAAAAACAAGACACCGCCGCAUAUACUAAUGAGGGCAAAUUGGGUGCAGGUUUGGCUUUAUGAUUGAUUCACAUGUCCUCAAGGCCAUAGUCACAAAGACGGCUGUUCAAUUUAACCAACAGCCCUUUACUGCAAGUCAACCCCUGCUUUACCUUUCUAAGUUUCCUACUCCGUCUACUCUAUCCAUGAAAAAGUACAUACAGGCCCAAUUCACAAAGAUCAUGCACACUGCACACACGAGUUUUACAUGAGGGAAAUAGUGAACUCUGACAUAGCGACUCCAUCUCUGUGUUUGCUUCAGUUUUUGUUUGAUUGUGACUGAGACGCUCUGCUGCUCAGAGCUGCACUCUCAUCCUGACAUUGCUAAAUGCUGCCCACUUAUUAUGAUGAGCUAGAUAGAGAGGAAGAGUCUUUUUAUGUUAAUUGUGUAGUUAAUACAUUACAUAUGUGACCAGUUUUACCUGCUUUAACAAGCUCUUUUUAGAAUAAAUAAAUACUUUAUUGUGCACAAUGACGCAGCCUGUAGCCUUAUGUGGGAGGUUGCGCCACAGACAGCCUGUACAGCUUUACCUUCUUAUCAUAAAAUACUAAUACCACAGCAAUAUUUAUAGACCUACUGUAUAGAUAUAGUAUUUCUAGAUCAUUCAGUUUUUGUCCUGAUCACUGUAGAGUUUGAGUGUAAUGACGCUUUGAGUAUUUGGCAGAACUGUCACUUUCAACUGCUCCAGGUUAUGGCACAGGUGUUAAUGAACAAAAUGUUCUCUGCAGUGUUGCUUGUUUGCAAAAAAAAAAAAGGUAAAUUUUGCAUAAUGGAUCAUUUAGAUGUUUGCAAACAAUACUAAUACAAAGUGAAGCAAUACUUGAAUCAGAAAAUGCCUCUUUGGCUUAUUUGCACGAGGCAAAAAUCAAUGCAAUCCUUUUGUGAAAUAGGCCCUACUUUUGAUAGAGGGGGUUUAAUAUACAGACCUGCUUCAUAUACUGCCUGGUACCUUUUUCAGUUAAAGAAAAUAAAGGACCCAGCUUAUAUUUGGAGAGUUACUCUGCGAUAAAAAGACGACAAUUGGAAUAUAGCCCCAAACGCUAAGUGCUGAACUAAAUUUCAGUAGUUUGAGCUCAACACUGUAUAUGUUAAAGUGGAAUUAUGUAAUCUGUGAAAGUUUUACUGAUCCUGAGUCUGCUUGUGGAUUUAAAAUGAUCUGGCUACCCGGAGACAACUGCAGGUCUUUAAAUUGAGCUGCAGCUCUGAGCUAAAGCCUGCCUCUCUCAUUCAUCAUUAAGCAUAUAGAUGCAUGCAUUCACUGCUGCACACACACACAUACACACACACUACUACCAACAUGGUCACAUCAGCAUGUGGGGCCAUAAAAAGGAUACUUAGAGUACACUUUGUUCCCUCAGAAAUGCAACAGAAGCAAACAGAGCUGCUCCAACCAAGCGUUUCCUCGUUGCUUUAUGAUCUAAUUUCACUAUCCGGUGAAACAGAUGACCGCAUUAGCAAUCUCUAUUGUGUUCUCAUACUGCUUAAAUGCGUUAUGUGUGUUUUUAGUGCAAUUAGCUGUGUUUAGGUAUUGUCCCUGGGAGUGUGCUUGCAUUUGCCAGUGCAGGUUCUUAAGCGGGCUCGCAGUGGAAAUACAUUCAGGCACACCGUCAUAUAAUAAUUGUAAUGAACUGACAAAGCAAAAAGUUUUGAUGAGAAAAACUAAAUAAGGGGAGGUUUUUUCGAGGUGGAAACAGCAGAGUUUGCUUACAGCUGGAUCUCUGGUUGAUUGAAAAAAGAACAAGUAUGAAUAAUGCAUGUGGCGAGUAUGAAAUUACACUAUUACAGCUUUAAGAUAAUUUGUGUUUUGAGAGCUGAAGAUAAUUGUUUUGAGACUGUAAUUUUCCCUUUGCCUUGAAGAAACCUAAUUGAACUAAGUGGGAAGGAGGUGUUAGUAAAGAAAGAAUCUGUUUCUUUCCAGCAGCGGGCAUCCGAAGGUACAUGGAUCAAUGGAGGGAUUUUUAGCAUCAUACUGGCUUUAUCUGUGCGCACUGAUGCUAUCCUGGUGUUUCAUGGCUUUGUUUGUUUAACCAAAAGACAUUAAAAGUUACAGAAGAAGAAAAAAUGGGGAAAAAAAAAACAGAGAAAAAAGGCAGUGACUGUGAGGGGAAGUGGAGGAGCAGGAGAGAAGCUGCUGAUAUUCAGAUUUCAGUCAUGAGCAAACAGACAGGAAAAAUUUAGGACUCAGACUGUGACAUUGAAGUCUUUGUACAGUUGAGAAAAAGAGGUAUUGUGGGGGUUUAACAUGUAAGAAAAUAUAUAUACUGCCCACCCAGUUAAAUAUGAAUGAAAAAAUGUUGUCCACAACAAAAGUGGCAAACUGGCAGUGUGCAGAAGCCACGCCCACCAGCUGACCUCAAGUGCCAAUCACCUCUACACUACAGCCUGAAAGCUAGAAAAUGGAUCAGUCAACCUUUAACUCUCUUUCAUAGUAACUCUCCUGCCGUCCAUUUGCACCCGUAGACUGUGUAUUGAAUGGAUCCCAUCUGCCUCCUCGAAGCCAUCGUGAGUACAGCACCCUCUAGUGACGGGCUGCAGUAUAGGUCAUAAAUCCCGCCUCCUCCAGCAAUCCCUAUGGAGCUGUGGACAAACUUUAGAAAUUUAUUACAUAGAAAAUAUAUUUUCUCCCUCCUGGUUAUGAUGUUGACAUGUAGUUACUGUUAGACUGGUUUGUGCUCAAGUCCUCUUUUUUUCUGUACAGCACCAUUUUUAAAAGUUAUUAGAGGGUUCAUGUUUUCCAUUACUGACACCUUAUACAGCUUAUGGGCGUACGAAGAUUGCAUAGCUCACUUGGCAAUGUUUGAGCUAAGUCAUCACAGUGACUCCCGGCAACUCUCCCACCGAAUGUGUACAACACUACUGUGCAAGUGGUGGAGAGCAAUUUGGCUUCAAAUGUGUAUAAUGACAGAAGGCGGAGCCAAGUUGUGCGCAGUUUAUACAAUCUAUGUUUGCACCCUGAACCAAACGUAUCUAAUAUUUCCUACUUUAUGGACAUAUCCAGCCUCAAGGUGGACAAGGUAACCUGGUGCUAAAAUGGGGGUUAUGCAGCUGCUUUAAUAUUGUGUUCACCAGAAGAUUUCAUUUAAAAAGAGUUUGUUUUGAAACUUCAUUUCCCUGAAAGGUGCCCAGGAGUGAAGAAGGGUAAGUGUAAACAGAAGGAAGCACAUAAGCAUCUCAGUGGGAGCUCCAUAAUGAGUCUGUUAUGAUUUUGGUCAAACUUUUCCCCCACUGCAGUAUAAAGAAGAGCAAAUACCCUACAACAACUUAUAAAAUAUGCUGCUUGGCCUCUUUUGUUUAGCCAUAAGACAGAUGUAAAUUUAACCAUAUGAGCCUCUAAAUCUGGAGGGGAAACUUUGUGUGUCACCUCCUUCUUUCUCCACUUACUGUGUUUGUGGCUCGCCUUAAUUUCAUGAUUGUUUCCAUUCAUCUUGAUUUCUUCAAACCAUCAUUAAUCUCUGUGCCUUGAAUUAGGCCGUCUAGUCUGAACACUUCCCAAGACCUUCUGAUCUGUAGACGUAAGUCAGCUGAUACAACCCGACAAUUUACCGAGUAUGGUGAAGCAACACUCAGUCACUUUGCUGCUAGUAGCUGGGAUAAGCUACUUCUAAUAUCAAACAUAAACAUUUUUACAUACAUAUUUUGGGCUGGACUAUAUUCUUCAAAAACAAUUACUUGUAUGCAACAGUUGUUUUAAGCGCUUUGGCUCCAACCUGAGCCCCCGGCCCUUCCACAUGUGUAUGUGCAAUGCCAA
rnacentral:lncRNA from 1 species